UUGAGUAAUUCAUUCUUGUUGAUGGUCUGCAAAAUUCUAUCAACGCUGCUGGAUUUAUAUCCCUCGUUUUAAGCUAGAUGAUAAGUAAAUACAUGUAACAACUUGAACCUCUAAAACUAAUCCAUUCAUGGUCAUACGUGGGAAGCCAAUUUUGGCGUUUGGUGGUGGAAGGACACUCCGACCGGGGGAUUCAGUUGAGACCGCUGAAGAGAGGAUUGUGAGAGAAAAGCAGACAAAAAAAUUUCUCAUAGCCUACAAGGAAUCAAUCGGACUGAAUAUUGAUCCCAAACUCAAACUUGAGUGUGAGAAGGCAAUAGACGAGGGGAACUCGCUUAUGGAUUCUGGGAGACUCAAGGAAGCUUUGCCAUACUAUGAAAAGGUCAUGGAGAAAUUUCUGCAAAUCUGGUUUAUUGUUCAUGUCUACGUUUAUGCGUAAGUCUACUAAUACCUUUCUAUAUAUGCCUUGCUUGUUUUGACUGCAUGAGACUUGUUCAUUAUCUACCCAGCAGUAUUUUGCAUUAUUAGUUUCAUUGCUUUGUUGGGUGUCACUCUAUCGAAAUCUUAAUCGAUUGAUCCACCUAGAUCACCUAGAGUAGUCUGCUUCAGAUGUGACCUUAACUAGUUACGAGUUUAGUUGUGCAGAGUGAGCUUCAUGGACUAGCGGCUUUGCAGUGGUCUAUUUGUCAGGAUUCACUUCGAAAGUAAGUUUUUCUCUCCUUAUAAUUUCGGUUGAUGCAACUACAGGGUGACAACUGACAAGUAUUUCUCCAUGAGUAUUUGACUUUGUAAUAGACUCGUAUAUAUUUGUAUUUGUAAACCAUACUCCCAAAACUCUAUCAAGCUCCAAAAGUCCCCAAGAAAACCACAAAAUACUUGAAGCAUCCCCUGUUUAUACCUACCAAGUUGAUGGCUCAUUUGUGAAUGUUCUAAAAUAUCCUCAAAAGUAGUCUUGUUGAGUGAUGUCAAAAAAAAAAAGAAAAUGUAUUCUUGUUGAGUAUUGUGGCAAGGCGCAUGUAUGAGAAGCUUCUAUCCCACCCGAAUCCGAGAGUGAGCAAGAAAGCGAGGCAGUUGAUGUUCAGUUUUCAGGCAAUGGAGAUGCUGAAGGUUAAGGGGUCGAGCUUCAUGGAGGGAAACACUGGUUAUCAGGACUACUUUGAAGCCUUUGACAAAGAUAAAACGAAUUACAAAGCGCAGGAGGAAAAAGAAGGAGAGGCAAUGGGGAUAUGUGAUUCUUUUUGCGUCUCCGAUUCUAAUGGUCUUCAUUUUGUGGCUGCACUGAGAGGGAAUAUGCACUGAAGUCACAAAAUCUUGUCAACUUCUUUACAUGUAAGUGUUAUAG